rnacentral:rRNA from 1 species
UUAAAAAGCUCGUAGUUGAACCUUGGGCCUGGCUGGCCGGUCCGCCUCACCGCGUGCACUGGUUCGGCCGGGCCUUUCCCUCUGGGGAACCUCAUGCCCUUCACUGGGUGUGAUGGGGAACCAGGACUUUUACUGUGAAAAAAUUAGAGUGUUCAAAGCAGGCCUAUGCUCCAAUACAUUAGCAUGAAAUAAUAGAAUAGGACGUGUGGUUCUAUUUUGUUGGUUUCUAGGACCGCCGUAAUGAUUAAUAGGGACAGU